rnacentral:lncRNA from 1 species
CAGCCCUGGAAGCACAGGUGGAAACAAUUCACCUGUGUGACUGGAAGGUGUAGCUCUCUCUAACCUCAUUUAAGGGCUGGCAGCUGCAAGGGAAGCAUCUCUACUUGGAAAUUAUCUCCUUUGGAACGUUUGCUGAGCUCUGAUCCUUGGAAAGGGCUAUGUUCCUGUUUGUUCUACCCCUAAAAACAAACCCUGGAAGCAAAAGAAAAAAU